UCAACCUCCCCACAUGCCCGCACGCCCGCCCGCCCUCCCUCCCUCCCUCCCUCCCUCCCUCCCUCCCUCAUAAUCUCAUGUUAAGUAAACCAGGAUCCUGAAGUCCACUUCAAGUGACUCUCAUUCAAGAUGGCCGUACUUCUUCAUUACACAAAGGAAAAACCUCAACCAAUUUCUAAAGACUGGUGACAUCCAGUGAAAACGGUAGGAACUGCAAGAAGGUCCCUUGGAAAUCUGGUUUCCCAAUGAAAAUUCAUUGAAAAGACAGUGACCUCAAAAAAUACAAAUCUGAAUGGUUUGUCCUCUGGGUUUUGCCUGCUACAUAAGUUCUGUUAUACUCAUAGACAUGAUUCAAACAAUUUUAGAAACGUCAGAGUGUUUUCUAUCCAAAUCUACUAAUAAUAUGCAUAUCUUAUAUUCUGGGGAUGAGUAGCCGGCAGUUGAAUUUGGGCACGCUAUUCAUCCAAAAGUGAAAAUUCUACCCCCUAGGUCACCUGGCAGCAAAUUAACAAGGCACACCUGUUAAUUGAAAUGCAUUCCAGGUGACUACCUCAUGAAGCUGGUUGAGAGAAUGCAAGAGUGUACACAGCUGUCAACAAGGCAAAGGGUGGCUACUUUGAAGAAUGUCAAAUAUAAAAUAUUUGUGGACUUGUUUAACACUUUUUUGUUCACUACAUGAGUCCAUAUGUGUUAUUUCAUAGUUUUGAUGUCUUUACUGUUAUUCUACAAUGUAGAAAAUAGUAAAAAAUAAAGGAAAACCCUUGAAUGAG